rnacentral:rRNA from 1 species
UACAGAGGGUGCAAGCGUUGUUCGGAAUUAUUGGGCGUAAAGCGCGUGUAGGCGGCCAAUCAAGUCGGGUGUGAAAGCCCUCAGCUUAACUGAGGAAGUGCGCCCGAAACUGACUGGCUUGAGUACCGGAGAGGAUGGCGGAAUUCCCCAAGUAGAGGUGAAAUUCGUAGAUAUGGGCGAGGAACACCGGAUGGCGAAGGCGCAAUCCCUGGACCGUGUACUGACGCUCAGUGCAACGAAGGCGUAGGGAGGAAACAUGGAUGAGACCUACCGUCGUAGUCCAA